GACGAACGCUGGCGGCGUGCUUAACACAUGCAAGUCGAACGGAAAGGUCCUGCUUUUGUGGGGUGCUCGAGUGGCGAACGGGUGAGUAACACGUGUGUAACCUGCCCUUGACUUUGGGAUAACUUCAGGAAACUGGGGCUAAUACCGGAUAGGAGCUCCUGCUGCACGGUGGGGGUUGGAAAGUUUCGGCGGUUGGGGAUGGAAUCGCGGCUUAUCAGCUUGUUGGUGGGGUAGUGGCUUACCAAGGGUUUGACGGGUAGCCGGCCUGAGAGGGUGACCGGCCACAUGGGGACUGAGAGAGGGCCCAGACUCCUACGGGAGGCAGCAGUGGGGAAUAUGGCACAAUGGGCGGAAGCCUGAUGCGACAACGCCGCGUGCGGAAUGACGGCCUUCGGGUUGUAAACCGCUUUCGCCUGUAACGAAGCGUGAGUGACGGUAAUGGGUAAAGAAGCACCGGCUAACUACGUG
rnacentral:rRNA from 1 species